UCCUUAGUACGAGAGGACCGGGAUGGACUGACCUCUGGUGCACCAGUUGUUCCGCCAGGAGCAUAGCUGGGUAGCUAAGUCGGGAAGGGAUAAACGCUGAAAGCAUCUAAGCGUGAAGCCCCCCUCAAGAUGAGAUUUCCCAUAACGUAAGUUAGUAAGACCCCUUGAAGAACACAAGGUAGAUAGGUGAGAGGUGUAAGUGCAGCAAUGUAUUCAGCUGACUCAUACUAAUAGGUCGAGGACUUAAUCAAA
rnacentral:rRNA from 1 species